ACCGGCGCACGGGUGCGUAACGCGUAUACAUCUACCUUUUACAGAGAGAUACCCCAGAGAAAUUUGGAAUAAUACCUCAUAAUUCGGCAUCGAUAAAGUUUCGGCGGUAAAAGAUGAGUAUGCGUCCUAUUAGCUAGUUGGUAAGGUAACGGCUUACCAAGGCAACGAUAGGUAGGGGUCCUGAGAGGGAGAUCCCCCACACUGGUACUGAGACACGGACCAGACUCCUACGGGAGGCAGCAGUGAGGAAUAUUGGUCAAUGGGCGAAAGCCUGAACCAGCCAUGCCGCGUGCAGGAAGACUGCCUAUGGGUUGUAAACUGCUUUUAUACAGGAAGAAACACUCGGACGUGUCCGAGCUUGACGGUACUGUAUGAAUAAGCACCGGCUAACUCCGUGCCAGCAGCCGCGGUAAUACGGAGGGUGCAAGCGUUAUCCGGAAUCAUUGGGUUUAAAGGGUCCGUAGGCGGAUUAAUAAGUCAGAGGUGAAAUCCCACAGCUUAACUGUGGAACUGCCUUUGAUACUGUUAGUCUUGAGUUAUAUGGAAGUAGAUAGAAUGUGUAGUGUAGCGGUGAAAUGCAUAGAUAUUACACAGAAUACCGAUUGCGAAUGCAGUCUACUACGUAUAUACUGACGCUUAUUCACGAAAGCGUGGGGGCCGACCAGAAUAGAUUACCCUGCUAGGCCACGCCGU
rnacentral:rRNA from 1 species